GGGGAUGUAGCUCAAAUGGUAGAGCGCUCGCUUUGCAUGCGAGAGGCACAGAGUUCGAUCUCCCGCAUCUCCA
rnacentral:tRNA from 1 species